ensembl:lncRNA
AGCGGGGAGUGGGCGGCCGGUCGGCGUAGCAGCCCCGCCGCGGCUCCGCCACCAUCGCUGAGGCGCCGCUGCUCCCACAGACGCUCGCGAGCCGCCCCCCGCGCUCCGGAGCCUCCUCUUCCUCUCGCGCGCCCCGAGUAGCUCGCCCGCCUGGGCCUCGGUGCCCGCCUUCUCUUCCCCCUCCUAGUCCCUUCUCGCGCUCCCCACAUUGUCUCUGCCUCAUUUUCUCUCUUAGUUGAGGAAAAAAUAAAAUCACCGCCCUCCUUAGGGAGCCCCUCGCCCUCCGAAAGCCCAGACCAGACAUGAUCCUGGGCUCCCGCUUCUGAAGGCUCGGCCGACCGGGAGGAGGAGGAGGAGGAGGCGGCGGAGGAGGCGGAGGCGGAGGCAGCCAGGGCUCGAGUCGCGGAGAGGUCGCGGCCCGGAGCCCCAGCGCCCGUCGCGUCCCGCGGGCGGGUCCCUUGGCUUCGGCCCGCACCUCGCGGCCUCGCCGCUCCCGCCUUCCCCGCCCGCGCUUCCGGAGCCGGCCGCUCACGCCUCUGUGGAUGGUGUAGCGCCCUCGGGAAGAGCAUUUGAUAGAUUGCUAUUCCUUGAAAUUCCUGAGCUGAGGAGCAGAACCAGGAGAGGUGAGGACUGGAACUUGGUUGUAUGUGAAUCCAUUUGCUGAUGGAACAAGAAAGAGUCUGAAACAGCAGAUGUGCAAAUUUUCUUCUGUAAUGGCCAUUUAUUUAAUAUAAAAGGUGAGUCUGAAGAAUGUAUGUUUGGUUAAGUAGUAUGCUGAAUUCUGGUGUUUAGUGUGAUUGUGUUCAAAGAGACCUGUUUAGAAUUAACUGUGAAAUAUGGUGCAACAAUAGUAAGGAAUGCAGUGGGUGCCUUUCUGCUGUUAUGGUACUCCAUUAACAACUUCUGCUGUGCUUGGCUGCCUUUCAUUGUUACGCUUUAUGGUUUACACUAACAUUGUAGAUGUAAGUGGCGUCCCUUCUACAACAGUUGCCCAAGGCCUUAGCAACGAUGAUGGUGUAUUUUGAGCAGAUACCGGUUUAGUUCACAUUAAUAUCUGCUAGACAGGUUGUAGUGUGCUGUGGUCUCUUCUCUGACUUUGGACAGAGUUUUUAUCUAGGUGGAAAAAGGAACCGGGUCGUGUGCUUGAGCUUGUGGGCCUACACUGGCUGAGGGCAUGCUUGGUCCUACGGGCUGCCCCUUGUUGUCUUAGCUGCAGCGACACUAAGUCAUUCUGGGUACUGCAGAAUGUCCUGUAAAAGGUGGUUGGGUGAAGGCACUUUAGGUCAUUAAGUUGAGUGGACUGUAUUUGUGUGCAUGUGUGUGCAAAAUUUGGUUUUAGGAAAUUUAAAUUUAUGGUAUGUGCUAUUUGUGAGAUGUAAGUUCAUGGUGUUGAGUGUUUUUUAUUUGCUUUUUUAUAGAGUCAGGGUCUUUUAAGAGAAGAAUUUUAUUUAUUUAUUUUAAUGGCAGCAAAGUUUUAUUAAAGGUAGGAAAAGGCUCUGCAGAGAGAGUUUGGGCCAAGUAAAAGUAGGAAAAUAAGUGCCCUGACAAUGUGAGGGCAGCCACCCUGCAAGGGAACACAGUGGCCAUAGGGCAGAAUUUUAGAAGCCCUUUUUUCCUUUGCCACUUAAGGCUUGAGAAUGGAGAUUUAGAAAGCCUUUGGGUAGUGAAUUGCUUUAUUAAUCAGAUGAAAACUGUGGGUUCUCUUUCCAGAAAAAUACGUAUUCAGUUCAACAAAUUUAUUCAGCCUGUAUUUAUUGAAUAGUCACUAUCUGCCAGGCAUAGUUUAUAGUGUUAUGAUAUACUAGUGAACAAAAUAGAAAAAAUCAAAACAAAAAACAGCCCAAAAAGGAAACCUCUGUGGAGGUUAUAUUCUAGGGAGUCAAUAAGCUAAGAAAAAAAAUACUGUGUAGUAUAUUAGAAUUUGAUCAAUACUGUGGAAGAAUAGAAGAUGUAAAGGCACUUCAAAGUAGGGGGACAAUGGUGGUUGUUGCAAUUUAAAUAAAGACAUCAGGAUAGGCCUAGAUAAGUGAGAGGUGGGAGGAUCAGAAGUUUGAGCCCAGCCUGGGCAACUUAGUAAGACUGGGUCUCAGAAAGGCCUGGGGAUGGAGCUCAGUGUUAGAGUGCCCCUGGGUUCCGCCACCAGUAUCCCAAAAAAGAAGGAAAGGAGCUAGACCUUGUAAAAAGCAUGGUAUUUGAGCAGUAGAUUAAGGCGGUGCAGGAGUUAGUUAGUUGGUGGAGAGGUCUUCAAGUAGCCAUAGGGAAGACAACAUGAUGGGAGCAGAAUAAGCAAGGAUAAGAGCAGAAUAUCACCUUCCUAGGGCUGCAUAACCAUUUACCACAAAUUGGGUGGCUUAAUACAAAAAAUUUGUUAUCUCACAGUCUUGAAGGGGAGAAGUCUGAAAUCAAGGUGCUGGCAGGGUGAUUCCAUCUGGAGGAUCUGAGGGAGAGUCUGUUCCAUGCUUUUCUCCUGGCUAUCAGCAACCCUUGGUGUUCUUGGCUUAUAGCUGCAUCCCUCCGGUCUUCAUUUCUGUCUUCACAUCUCCUCCUCCUCUUGCAUGUCAUCUCCCUCUGCCUCACUUCAUCAGGACCUCUGUUACUGAAUUUAAGGCUCACCCAAAGUCUAGGAGGAGCUCAUCUUGAGUUUUUUUUUUAAAAGACAGGCCUCACUAUGUAUUUCAGGCUGGGUGAACUCACUGUGUGGCCCAGGCUGGCUUUAAAGUCAUAGCAGUCCUGCCUCAGGCUCCGAAGUGCUGGGAUUACAGGUGUGUGGCCAGCUUCAUUCUGAGGUUUUAAAAUUACUUACAUCUGCAAAGACCAUUUUUACAAAUUUUUCCAAUCACAUUUAUAGGAAUUGGAGAUUAAGAUUGGACUUGUCUUUUGGGGGACCAGUAUUCACCCACCUACAUCUGUGUGGCCUCCUAGGAUGGAUGCAAAAUGUAGCAUGUACUGGUGAGAGUGUAGGAGGUAAAAGACUGCUGCUGUCCUUGCAAGGACUUUGGCUUAAAUGGAAAUGGGAAAGCACUGGGGUUUUAGAGUAAAGACAUGAGAGGAUGUGUUUGGCAUUUAGAAAGGUCGCUCACUCCUUUGCUGACCAGAGACAGAGGCAACAGAGUAGAGAUGAGAUAGUCGGGAGCGGGAGGCUGCCUUGGUGAUAAACUCAGCGAGGAAGAUGUCGGCUCACACCACGGUUAUAGCAGUGAGGGCGAUGCCCUCCGGAUGCACUUUAAAGGUGCAGUCACAGUAUUUUCUGGUAAAGUGCAAUGUUGGACAGCUGAAAGAAGAGUCAGGGUUUUAGAACUGAGCUGCCAGAAGUCACAAACGAAUAUGGGCAGACUGCAGUUAGAGCAGGUUUUGCUGUGAAGAUCAAGAGCUUGGCUCUGGACAUACUGCAUUUAACAUUGUAUAGAUAGCCAAAUGGAGAUGCUGAGUAGACUUUUUUUUUUUAAAGUUUGUGGUACUGGGGAUUGAACCCAGGGUCUUGGGCAUGCUAACCAAGCAUUCUACCGUAGAGCUACAUCCACAGCCCUUUUUAAAAUGUUUAUUUUCAGGUAAGGUCUUGCUAAGUUGUUGUCUAGGCUAACCUGGAACUUGGGGUUCUCUUGUCUCAACUUCCUGAGUAGCUGGGAUUACAGGCAUGUACCACCACCCCUGAAAUUUUUAAUUAAGACAGUGAGAAUCUAGAAUUCAGGCUGAAACUUGGAUGGUAAUGUAUGAUUAUGAAAUCAUGGUGAAUAUAAUUAAAGCUGGGAAAUGAGAAGAGAUUAGUCAUUGCUAGUAUAAAGAGAUGGUAUCCAAGGAUGAAGCCCUGGGACAUUCAGAAGGGGAACAAUCAGCAACAAAACUUGAGAUUAGCCAAAAAAUGGAGGAAACCAAAGCAUCUUUUUUUUCCCCUUGGUACUGGGGAUCAAACUCAGGACCUUGCACUUGUGAGGCAGGCGGUGCCACUGAUCUGCAUCCCCAGCCCUAAGGCAUCUUGAAAACCGGGUGAGAAAAAUGUAUUCAGGUAGGAAGGGGAGAUGAAACAUGUCAAAGUGGGCUGGGGAUUUAGCUCAGUGGUUCCGGUGCCUGCCUCACAAGCACAAGGUCCCAAGUUCGAUCCCCAGUACCAAAAGAAAAAGUAAAUAAAUAAAAAAAAAAGAAACAUGUCAAAGCCCUACUACAUUGGCUCAGAUGAGGACUGAUAAUUGAUGAUUGGAUUUAGCCAUGUGGAGGGCAGAGGUGAUCCUGGCAAGAUUAACUUCAGUGGAGUAUUUGGGUUACCAGCCUUACUGGAGUGGGCCUAAGAGAAUGAAAGGACUUGGGAAUGAGUAUGGAGUACUUUUUUUGGAAGAUAUUUGCUGUGAAGAAGAUUAGAGAAUUAAGGUUGGAGCUGGCGGAAUUUAAUGAAAGCUUCUUAUUGUUUUGUUUUUUUAAAGACGAGAACGCUAUAGAAGUAUCACACCAUCUCAAAAUUUGUUAUAAUUUCUUUCAGGUGAUUAGUGGGUCCCCAAAGCCCUCUGUGAAUCUGCAGUUUACAAGCUCCUGCCCUGUAACUUACUGGUACAGACAUGGGGCAGUGGCCCUACUUCCUCCUCUAAGAUUUCUCUCUUACACAGCUAUUAAGAAGUUUUUUUGUCUAGUAACUAAUCAGACCACAAGGAAUGAGAAUUAUUAAGUGUCUGUAAUGUCCCUCAUAAAGAGUAGGUCUUGGUACAGGUCACUUGCUUUGCAUUUUAAAAAAUGUACAGUUACUCAGGCACCGUUCUACAUGAAUUUUACCUCACAAUCCUGUGGGAUGGGUAUUAUUGUUCCUAGUUUAUAAUUGUGAGCAAAAGGACGCACAGAGGGUCUUGGUAACUUGCCCAAAGUCACCCAGCUGGGAAGUUGACAGAGCCAAGUUUUGGAACCAGGUGUGGGAUUUCAGUCUCUUCUAACCACUGUAGCGCACUUCCUCUCAUGGUUCUUUCAUUGUGCGUGUUAGGAAAGUAAAGUGAAGCCUGAGAUGUCUUUUUUUCCCCAGUAUCUGGGAUUGAAUCUAGGGCCUUGGCACCAAGCUACCUCCCCAGACCUCCUCCCUCUGCCUUCUUCAUUGUUUUUAAUUUUGAGACAGUAUCUCACCAAGCCAUUAACUCAGGCUGGGUUUGAACUUUUUUGGUACCGGGGAUUGAACUUGGGUCCUUGCGCUUGCGGAGCGGGCAGUGAAACCACUGAGCUAAAUCCCCGGCCCUGGGUUUGAACUUUUGAUCCUCCUGCUGCCAUGCUCAGCUCUUGAGAGGUCUUUGAGAUUUUCAUCUGAGAGAUUGUGUAAAAUCUUUGUAAAAGCAUUGUCCUUGUGUAUUUGUCUUAGGUGGUACAAAAUUAAUGUGGUAAGAUUAUAAUAGUUUCUGUUCUAAGGAUUUGAGAAUAGCUUCUUUUCUUUUUUUUUUGGUACUGGGGAUCGAACUUGGGUCCUUGCGCUUGCGCAGCAGGCGGCGAAACUACUGAGCUAAAUCCCCAGCCCUCCUUUUCUUCCAGCAAAGAGUAACAACAGCAGCAGCAGGAACAACAAAUAUUCCUUUAAAAAAGUUAUGACCGAGUCUCAGAUUGAAGGAGGGUUUGAUGACUGAUUCCUGUUGCUGAGUUCAGCAGACUUUAAGAUGGAAGUCUAUUCAGAAGGUGCGUAAUGAGGGCUGAUCCUUUCAUUGACUGUCUAAUAUAUCAGAGAAAGUUUACAUAAUGGCUAAUACUUAGUUUUUGCUGUUUGCCUAGUGUGGUGAAUAUUUUAAAAAGGGUUGACGAAAGAGGAAUGAUACAGCUGUUGUAUUCGCUCAUCACUUUUUUUUUUUUUUUU